GGUUUAAUUUGGAAUAAUAUACAAGAAGUAGGAUUACAAUCUGGGACAUCCAUACAGACCAGGGUGACCUCUGGUGGGUACAGAGAACAAAGGAAAAGUUAGAGUUGAUAGGGGAAAGAGGAGUUGCCCCAUGUCGUUUUGAAAGAAAGUUCACUGGGGCUGGCAGUGACUUGCAAGAGCUGGUGCGUGCCAACGGGCAAAUGUGAGCGGUUGCUGGGUGUGACUUGCAAUCUUGGAGCUAGGGUUAGGUCCUUGUCAUUUUGUAUGGGGCUUGUGUGACAAUGUGCCAGGCGAGUGUUCUUGUGUGAGCAGGGGGCUGUCCUGGUGCUGCUGGCUGCCCUGGUGCUGCUGGCUGCCCUCGUGUGACUCCUUAGUGAGCUCCAGUUUGGGAAAAUUUCUUGUGAGAGCUCUCAUUAUCAGGCAAAUGGUACGUGAGAACCCCCGCUGCUUCCCUGGCACUAUUUGUCAGAGGUUGACACAAGUGACUCCAUUUUGAAUCUGACAACUUUCACAGUGUGCACUCCUUGUGUAUUAAACUGGAAUUUAUGGCUCUCUAUGUGUGGUGAAGAUCUGUGCACAGGUGCACCCAACUGCCUAGGCACCACCUGGCAUGGAGGAACCUCCCAUCUCUCACUGCCUCCCCCCGUUUCACCUGUUCUCUGCCCACCAGAGUGGACUUCAUUCUGUUCCUGGCCUGGGGCAAGGCUAGAUCAGCCCCACACAGGCCACCAUGACCCUUCCAGGUUGGGUUGAUCCUGCCCAUUCUAUGCUUCUCCACACCUGCCCCUCCUCCUGGCACCCCGACUGGGUCAUAGCCCUCACCACCCUGUUGUAAAGUCCAGUUUCCUGGUUGUAGGGUGCUCAAUAAGCAUCUGUUACAAGAACAAGUGGAGGAGAGUGAACAAAUCCCCGGGGAUUCUGAUGAGGCCUCAGAGAGGGCUGGACCUCCAGAUACAGGGGAGUGAGGGAAACGGUUCAGAUGGAUGUAGGUGUGAGACAUGCUGGGAACAGCAGGGACGUCUGUAAGGAGGGAAAGCAGAGUCCGCAGGGCAGAAACAGAGAGGCUGAGCCAGGCUCAGAGGACUCCCAGCAGAGGCAGUCACGCAGGCCAGCAGGGGUGGCUCUGGAACCCCCGAGCAAGUUGUGGCAGCAAAGAAUUCGGGAUCUGAGGGGUUUCAGUUGUAGGUCUGAGGUCUGUACUGACAAGGGGCAGGAUGCCAGCUCAGCAGUAGUGGGGAGGUGAAGACCUCACAGGGGAUAGGGGAUAGGGAUGGGACAAAAGAGGGAGGUCUCUCAGAUACAAGACCCAUUUACAGAGUCUCGGCUCAUCCAAAGAAUAUGAGGGGAGGGGGCUUUGUGCUCACAGAUGAUUGGGUUAGGGGAAAGAUGAUUAAUCACAGGCUGUGGACGCAUUUUCGAGGCAGGAGCCAAGCCUUAUGGCAAGAUAACGAAGGGGACGGCAAGGGCUGCUCUGUGGGGGUGCACGGGCUGGGCCCGCAGCACACCACCUGUUCACUAGGUCUGGGCAGCAAUUAGACCUGCACCCAGCAGGGCCCACAAGGUCAGAACAGGGACUGUGAAGAUCAAACGGAAGCGCAGGAGGGUGUUCGAGCCUUCGGGCAGGGCUUGUGCUUCCCCCAAAAUCAGUGCAGGUUUGCCGGUGGCUUUCAACCAGAAAGCACUAAGGAACGCUGUGUUCGUCUGCUGGGCUGCAUGACAGAGUACCUCGGGCCGGGCAGCGCACCCAACAGACAGUUAUUUUUCCAGAGAUGGAGGCUGGAGGUCCCAGAACAAGGUGGCAGCAGGGGCGUGUCUGGUGAGGGCUCUUUCUGGCUUGCAGACAGCCUCCUUCUCCCACGCCAGCCUCAUUCAACCUCACAGCCAGGGACAUCCACUGGGCCCUGGCACUGCCCAGCACCCAACGUCAUGCCUCUCCUUGCCUCAGGCUCCUGUCUCCACUGCGACUCUUCCCACUCCCAGCUGACCAUCCUGCUUCUUG
rnacentral:lncRNA from 1 species